rnacentral:rRNA from 1 species
GAUGAACGCUAGCUACGGGCUUAACACAUGCAAGUCGAGGGGUAACAAGAGAAAAGCUUGCUUUUCUUGUUGACGACCGGCGCACGGGUGAGUAACGCGUAUCCAACCUGCCUAUAACUAGGGAAUAACCUUGCGAAAGUAAGACUAAUACCCUAUGAUUUCCUUUGAUGACAUCAGAUUAGGAAUAAAGAUUUAUCGGUUAUAGAUGGGGAUGCGUCUGAUUAGCUUGUUGGCGGGGUAACGGCCCACCAAGGCAACGAUCAGUAGGGGUUCUGGGAGGAAGGUCCCCCAGAUUGGAACUGAGACACGGUCCAAACUCCUACGGAAGGCAGCAGUGAGGAAUAUUGGUCAAUGGGCGGAAGCCUGAGCCAGCCAAGUAGCGUGCAGGAUGACGGCCCUAUGGGUUGUAAACUGCUUUUAUACAGGAAUAAAGUUAGCCACGUGUGGUUAUUUGUAGGUACUGUAUGAAUAAGGACCGGCUAAUUCCGUGCCAGCAGCCGCCGUAA